rnacentral:piRNA from 1 species
AGGUGUUUGAGCAGGUGAAUCA